rnacentral:rRNA from 1 species
GAUGAACGCUGGCGGCGUGCCUAAUACAUGCAAGUCGAGCGAACAGGCGAGGAGCUUGCUCCUCUGACGUUAGCGGCGGACGGGUGAGUAACACGUGGAUAACCUACCUAUAAGACUGGGAUAACUUCGGGAAACCGGAGCUAAUACCGGAUAAUAUAUUGAACCGCAUGGUUCAAUAGUGAAAGACGGUUUUGCUGUCACUUAUAGAUGGAUCCGCGCCGCAUUAGCUAGUUGGUAAGGUAACGGCUUACCAAGGCAACGAUGCGUAGCCGACCUGAGAGGGUGAUCGGCCACACUGGAACUGAGCCACGGUCCAGACUCCUACGGGAGGCAGCAGUAGGGAAUCUUCCGCAAUGGGCGAAAGCCUGACGGAGCAACGCCGCGUGAGUGAUGAAGGUCUUCGGAUCGUAAAACUCUGUUAUUAGGGAAGAACAAAUGUGUAAGUAACUAUGCACGUCUUGACGGUACCUAAUCAGAAAGCCACGGCUAACUACGUG